AAGAGCAUCAUAUCAAAGUGUGAUGCUGUUUAGAACUACUUGCUGAGCCUUUAUAGUGCAUGUGUAAACUCUUUGCCAUCUCUUUCGGCACAUCAACAUGAACUAGUUUAAACUAACUGUUGACCAGAGGGAGAAAGAUGGGUUUGUGCAGAAAUGGCAAAGGGAGCUAAGAAGUAUGACAGGUGAUAUUUAUGUAGAAUUCAAACAAGAGCACAAAGCUCAUGUGAGGAGUUGUAUCUGGUUAUGAAACAGCCUGAGAUUAAUAUUGAUGUAUUUACAUGACCUACAUAAGCAAACGAGACCACGAGGAAUAAGAUUGAUUAUUUCUAUAUUGCGGAGAAACAAGUACGUGUUGCGUCUGUGUAAUAGUUCUAAACAUAGUGACUUUCUGAUUGAAAGAAAGCCCUGAAAUGUUCUAAAUAUUGCAUUCUUACCCCAACAUUGCUUUUUAGGUCAGAGUUUCUUAAAAGAAGCUAAAUCACUUGGUAUGAAUGAUCCGGUCUGCAUCGUUGUAUAGCCUAACUUCUGCGCCAGUUUCUCAAUAAAGGGGCUGUGCUGACUGGCAUCUUCUGAGGACAACACAGUAUCUAUGAUGAUACCAGCAUUGCAAAAGAGAAAUAACUAGGCUUUGCAAUCAACAAUUCAUCUGAGCCCAGAAUCACAGCUUUUAAAAAAUAUCCUCUCCUUUUACAAAAUCCAACAUUUGCUUCUCUGUCUUUUGCCUUCACUCAAGCAGCACAGGAGCUCUGAGGCUUUGAUGAGAUGUGUGAGCUAAAAUGUCACAGGGAUUAAGGGGGUUUGCCUCCUGCAUCUUGUCAGAUCAGUCCAACCCGCCUUCUGCUGUGCCUGAGCUCCUUCCUCCUCUACAAACAGGUGCGUAGGGGCACUUCUGUCUGCUCGCCUGUGCCCUAUUGAAUUUUCUUCAGGGGAAAUAACAUUCCUCCAUGUUUACAGAUGAGUGAACAGGGAAUUGGGAAGUUAUGGGGAGGAGAAGAGGAGGAAUGAGUAGAAAAUAAGAGUGGGGAUGAAGAUAUAUAUUCAAGGGGAGUGUCAACAGGGAAGAAAAGAUGAUAGGGUUAAGAUUUGUUUUUUCUUACCUUUGGAUAACCAGGUAUUUUCCUUUAAAUUAGCUUGUAGUAAUCUAACCCAAUCGUAGUUAUCUAUGCCAGUUGUUUCUUAGGUGGAGGUCGCAAGACACUGAUAAGGGGGUCA